AUUGAACGCUGGCGGCAUGCUUUACACAUGCAAGUCGAACGGCAGCGCGGGGCAACCUGGCGGCGAGUGGCGAACGGGUGAGUAAUAUAUCGGAACGUACCCAAGAGUGGGGGAUAACGUAGCGAAAGUUACGCUAAUACCGCAUACGAUCUAAGGAUGAAAGCAGGGGACCGCAAGGCCUUGUGCUCCUGGAGCGGCCGAUAUCUGAUUAGCUAGUUGGUGAGGUAAAGGCUCACCAAGGCGACGAUCAGUAGCUGGUCUGAGAGGACGACCAGCCACACUGGAACUGAGACACGGUCCAGACUCCUACGGGAGGCAGCAGUGGGGAAUUUUGGACAAUGGGGGCAACCCUGAUCCAGCAAUGCCGCGUGAGUGAAGAAGGCCUUCGGGUUGUAAAGCUCUUUUGUCAGGGAAGAAACGGUUGCGGCUAAUAUCCGCGGCUAAUGACGGUACCUGAAGAAUAAGCACCGGCUAACUACGUGCCAGCCGCCGCAGUAAAAC
rnacentral:rRNA from 1 species